ACUCUAGUAUUGACUUCAAUUCACAUGUGUUGAGAUGGAUUAGCAUGUAAAUUAGUUUAAGUUACACUCUAAUCCACCUCAAUACAUAUGGAUUGAGGUUAAUACUAGA
rfam:Zea mays cultivar B73 chromosome 5, whole genome shotgun sequence.